rnacentral:rRNA from 1 species
UGAACGCUGGCGGCGUGCCUAAUACAUGCAAGUCGAGCGAACGGACGCGAAGCUUGCUUCUCUGAUGUUAGCGGCGGACGGGUGAGUAACACGUGGAUAACCUACCUAUAAGACUGGGAUAACUUCGGGAAACCGGAGCUAAUACCGGAUAAUAUUUUGAACCGCAUGGUUCAAAAGUGAAAGACGGUCUUGCUGUCACUUAUAGAUGGAUCCGCGCUGCAUUAGCUAGUUGGGAAGGUAACGGCUUACCAAGGCAACGAUGCAUAGCCGACCUGAGAGGGUGAUCGACCACACUGGAACUGAGACACGGUCCAAACUCCUACAGGAGCCAGCAGUAGGAAAUCUUCCGCAAUGAACGAAAGCCUGACGAAGCAACACCGCGUGAAUGAUGAAGGUCUUCGGAUCGUAAAACUCUGUUAUUAGGGAAGAACAUAUGUGUAAGUAACUGUGCACAUCUUGACGGUACCUAAUCAGAAAGCCACGGCUAACUACGUG